rnacentral:lncRNA from 1 species
GCCAAGCACUGUUCUAGGUGCUGGGGUACAUACGAUACUACUAAUAAUAGUGGUGGCAUUUGUGAAGCGCUUACUAUGUGCCAAGCACUAUUCUAAGCACCCAGGUAGAUACAAUACUAAUAAUAACGGUGGUAUUUGUUAAACGCUUACCAUGUGGCGAGCACUGUUCUAAGCGCUGGGGGUAGGGGGAAUACAAGGUGAUCCGGUUGUCCCACAUGGGGCUCACAGUCUUUAUUCCCCUUUUACAGAUGAGGUCACUGAGGCCCAGAGAAGUAAAGUGACCUGCCCAAAGUCACAGAGCUGGCAAGCGGCGGAGCCAGGAUUAGAACCCACGACCUCUAACUCCCAAGCCCGGGCUCUUUCCACUGAGCCAUGCUGCUUCUGGUACAAGAGUGGUACUGCUUCCCUGAUACAAGGGAAUCAGGUUAUCCCAGGCAUUGUGUUCCAUCAAGAUGGACGAUGUCAGGAGACAUUUCCUGAUUUCCUAACAGUUACCCAACUCCUCUUCCAUUUUGCAUCUCCUAAAGGUGGGUGUCCUGCAAGAUCUCUUCUUGGUCCCCCUCCUUUUCUCCCUCUACACACACUUUUUUCAGAGAGCUCAUCCACUUAACGGACUCUAGCUGCCCCCUCUGUGUAGAUGACUCACAAAUUUACCUCUCUAAUCUCUAUCUCUCUCCAACUAUUCUAAUGCUUUUUCCUCUUUUCCCCCACUUUUAAGCAGUAGCAUUUAUCAAGCACCAUGGCGUCACUAUGGGUCAGGCAUUACUCGACAGCAUAAGUCGACAUCAAUACAUAACAAUACAUAAGACAACUCUGUAUGCGGAGUAUUAAAUUCGUGGGAGAAUAAAAUCAACAGACUCGAUCCCAUCCCUCAAGGAGUUUAAAAUCGAGUGGGAGAGGCAGUCCCUGAAAUAAAGUCCAGGUAUGAGGAAGUAAUAGAGUAUAGAGAUAUGGAGAUAAAGACUUUGGGGGUGAAUACCCAAGUGCUUAGGUGAAAUUGAAGUGAAGCGGCAGUUGGGCUUGGAUAUAGGAUAGGGAGAUGAGAGAUUAAUCAGGGAAAGGCCUUUGGAAGAAAACUGCCUACAAACAAAUGGCAAUAAGGAUCCAUUUCACAAAGCAGUAAUCAAAGAGGAAGAAUCUGCUUGGCCCUGUAUAGGGAGGGACUUUGUCUACCAACUCUGUUAUAUUCUACUUUCUCAAGUGCUUAGUUCAGUGCUCUACAUGCAAGUAAACAAUAAAUACAAUUGACUGAUGCUUGGUUUGUUUUCUCCGGGGGCCUGCAUUCAACCGAAUAAUAGCGAUUUCUGACAGUACUUCUGUGGCCAUAUUUCCUAUAUUGUCAUCUCACUUAGUAGCAUGCGGUAGUAAGACUACAGAUUUGGUCUUUUGGGGGGUAUUUGUAAGUGGUUAUUAUGUGCCAGGCACUGCACUGGGGUAGGUACAAGAUAAUUAGGCCUCUGUGGUGCUCACAGUCUUAAUCCCCAUUUUAGAGGAGUUAACUGAGGCCCAGAGAGGUUAAGUGAGUUGACCAAGAUCACACAGCAGACAAGGGGAGGAGCUGGCUCCCAUUCACUAGGCCUCACUGCUUUUCUUUUUGCUGGAUAACUGGAAUCUAGCCUCCAGGCAAACAGAGAGUAAGGACUAUGUCCGGCACAGCCCCAUAUCCUCCUUCCCUAGACUUUUCUUUGGCCAGCAGCAGCAGCUGACCUCCUCACGGUCUCUCGUUUGUGCCCAUCCUGCCGUUGACCCCUGGCCCACGUCCUACUGCCGACCUGGAACGCCCUCCCUCCUCACAUCCACCAAACUAACUCUCUCCCCCUCUUCAAAGCCCUACUGAGAGCUCACCUCCUCCAGGAGGCCUUCCCAGAUUGACCCCUCCCUUUCCCUCUGCUCCUUCUCCCCAUUCCCCCUUCUCCCGCCCUCUGCUCUUUCCCCUUCCCCUCCCCACAGCAUUUAUGCCUCUUUGUAUAUAUUAUUUAUUACCCUAUUUUAUUAACGAGGUGUAUAGAUCUAUGUUUGUAUCUUGAUGGUAUUGCUGCCUGACUACUUAAUAAUAAUAAUUAUGGUAUGUGUUAAGCGCUGUAAUAAUAAUGUUGGUAUUUGUUAAGCACUUACUAUGGGCAGAGCACUGUUCUAAGCGUUGGGGGAGAUACAGGGUCAUCAGGUUGUCCCACGUGAGGCUCACAGUUAAUCCCCAUUUUACAGAUGAGGUAACUGAGGCACAGAGAAGUGAAGUGACUUGCCCACAGUUACAUGGCUGACACGGUGCAGAGUCGGGAUUCAAACCCAUGACCUCUGACUCCCAAGCCCAGGCUCUUUCCACUGAGCCACGCUGCUAUUUAUUACCUCAUUUUAU